rnacentral:rRNA from 1 species
CGGCAACAGCUCAAAUUUGAAAUCUGGCCCCUAGGGCCCGAGUUGUAAUUUGCAGAGGAUGCUUUUGGCGAGGUGCCUUCCGAGUUCCCUGGAACGGGACGCCAUAGAGGGUGAGAGCCCCGUCUGGGAUGGGGUGUCCAGGCCUGUGUGAAGCUCCCUCGAC